rnacentral:rRNA from 1 species
GACGAACGCUGGCGGCGUGCCUAAUACAUGCAAGUAGAACGCAGUUGCGAACGGGUGAGUAACGCGUAGGUAACUGCCUGGUAGCGGGGGAUAACUAUUGGAAACGAUAGCUAAUACCGCAUACUACCCGAUGGACCUGCGUUGUAUUAGCAAGUGGGUGGGGGAACGGGUCACCAAGGCAACGAUACAUAGCCGACCGUGGAGGGUUGUCGGCCAAACUGGGGCUGAGACACGGCCCAGACUCCUACGGGAGGCAGCAGUAGGGAAUCUUCGGCAAUGGGGGGAACCCUGACCGAGCAACGCCGCGUGAGUGAAGAAGGUUUUCGGAUCGUAAAGCUCUGUUGUUAAGGAAGCGGUACUUAACCAGAAAGGGACGGCUAACUACGUGCCAGCAGCCGCGGUAAUUC